CUGGCUCAGGAUGAACGCUAGCGGCAGGCCUAAUACAUGCAAGUCGAACGGGCGGUAGCAAUACCGCUAGUGGCGCACGGGUGCGUAACGCGUAACCAACCUGCCCUUGACUGGGGGAUAGCCCGCCGAAAGGCGGAUUAAUACCGCAUAACCUCACAGUGUGGCAUCACACAAUGAGUAAAGAUUUAUUGGUCAAGGAUGGGGUUGCGUAGCAUUAGCUAGUUGGCGGGGUAACGGCCCACCAAGGCGACGAUGCUUAGGGGACCUGAGAGGGUGAUCCCCCACACUGGCACUGAGAUACGGGCCAGACUCCUACGGGAGGCAGCAGUAGGGAAUAUUGGGCAAUGGGCGAGAGCCUGACCCAGCCAUGCCGCGUGCCGGAUGAAGGCCUUCUGGGUUGUAAACGGCU
rnacentral:rRNA from 1 species